UGCCUAUUCCUAUUUGGUAUAUGUGAUGAGAUUAAAACAUAUUUUUCUUUUCUUUUAGCACACCCCACCCUUACAUGGCACACAAGUAUAUGACACACAACACAGGUCUUCUCAGGAGGCUGUGCCUACAGAGAGCAGCAGUUGCAGACUUCACCCCAGACCCAACACAUUUUGGGCUCCCACUUUCAACUAUUGAGGAGCUACAAUGUUUGUAGGAGACAUUAAAUAAUCCAGAUGAGAAGAAGAAUUUGGUGAGACUGUUUUUCCUGGAAUGGUCGGAGACAAGACUCUUAAAGACACCGUGGGGUGGGUCCUGAAAAAAACAAUAAACUCUUCGUGGCGAGACUCAUCAAUUGAAGUGGGGUCAACUGAAAGCCUGCAUUCAAAGGGCUCACUUUGAAAAGUGUGGUUUUGGAUGCAGUCCGCCGGAAUGCCCUGACCAAAGAUAACACAGAAAAGGAGAUAGAGCUCCUCAUCACCAGGUGGUCGGUGCUAGCAUAUGACAGGGAUGGUGGCCGAAUCCAGACAAUAGACAGACAAUGAAUUAAAAUGUUUUAAAUUUAAAAAUGUUGAUUUUUGGAAAAUUCGUAUUUGAACUGAUUGUGUGUGUGUGUGUGUGCACCUGGUAAUUAUCACGUUGUGUCCCCACAAAGAUAGGAAUACCAGUAUUUUUGUGACCUUGUGUCCCCAUGAGGAAACAAGCUUAAAUCAAACAAAAUGAUGUUUCUUGUAAAUGUGAAGUAGGAGAAGGGUUUCUGUGAUGGUUGGGUUUAGGGAAUGGGGUAGGUAAGGGGAAUAAAAUAUACAGUUUGUAUGGUAUAAAAUGCAUUACGUCUAUGGAAUGUCCCCACAAAACAUGGAAACCUGUUUGUGUGUACGAGAGAGAGAGAAUGUGUGUUCAAGUGUGUCCACAGGCGUUUGUUUUAUCUCGAUUGGACUACUGUAACUCAUUAUAUGUUGGGUUACCUCAAUCCUCCAUGUUACGGCUUCAGAUGGCUCAAAAUGCCACCGCUAGGUUUUUAACUGGGGUUCGUAAACGAGAACAUAUUACUCCAAUUUUAGUGUCUCUUAAUUGG